rnacentral:misc_RNA from 1 species
UAUCGGAUGCAUCAGAAUCAAUUUACAUUAUAGAAGGAAAAAAUAACUUAAAUUAGCUAUUAUAUACAACUGAAAAUUUCAACAAUGCAGGUCAAAAGCAUAUGGUUCAAUCAUCCCGCAGGCAAAAUGAAACUAAGGAACACUACCUCAAAUCCUUGUAGAAGAUGAAUCAAAACCAUCAGGAGCAACCCGAGCAAUCCAGUUG